rnacentral:rRNA from 1 species
CCUACGUGAGGCAGCAGUGAGGAAUAUUGGUCAAUGGACGCAAGUCUGAACCAGCCAUGCCGCGUGCAGGAAGACGGCUCUAUGAGUUGUAAACUGCUUUUGUACGAGGGUAAACGCAGAUACGCGUAUCUGUCUGAAAGAAUCGUACGAAUAAGGAUGGGCAAACUCCGUGCCAGAAGCCGCGGUAAUAAGGAGGAUUCAAGCGUUAUACGGAUUUCUUGGGUGUAAAGGGUGCGUAGGCGGUCGGAUAAGUUAGAGGUGAAAUCCCGGGGCUCAACUUCGGGAUUGCCUCUGAUACUGUUCGGCUAGAGAGUAGGUGAGGGAGGCGGAAUGUAUGGUGUAGCGGUGAAAUGCUUAGAGAUCAUACAGAACACCGAUUGCGAAGGCAGCUUACCAAGCUACUUCUGACGUUGAGGCACGAAAGCGUGGGGAGCAAACAGGAUUAGAUACCCUAGUAGUC